rnacentral:lncRNA from 1 species
UAGGAUUAGGUAUGUUUAUAUAGAAGAACACCCAACGGCUAUGUUGGUUGGGUGUAUUUAAUUAUGGUAAUUAAUAUAUAUAGGAAUGUGUAAUAUGGAUUUGGGAAUUAAUAUAAGAUUGAAUAUUUGAUUGAUAUUUGAAUGUGAAAAGAUGUAAUGAGAAUGUGAAGAGUUGUGAUGAAAUAAGAGGGUGUUAAUGAUAAUUUUAUUAUAAUGUUAUAUGUGUAAUUUAUUUUAAGGUAGGGGUAUAUCUCUAAUAUCCUCCCUCAAAUCAAAACCGGUCAGGGUUUGAUUUGAAUAUGUGGGUGCAUUGGGGUGUUGAAGUGAAUUAAUUGGGUUUGAAUUCUUGGUGUGUAUAUCAAUUAGGUUUAGUUUUUGGAUUAAAUUUUUAAAUGCUGGACCACCCAAGGGUUUAGUGAAAAAAUCACCAAUGUUUUGUGUGCUAGAGACGUGUCUUAGUGUAAUAUCUCCCGCUAAAACCUUGUCCCUCACCGUGUGAAGAUCGAUCUCUAUAUGCUUUGUUCGUUGGUGUGAUAUAGGGUUUCGUGCAAUCGCCUCUGCUGCCGUGCUGUCGGUGAAGAUACGUGGAGCCGGUGAUCGUCGUAUCUGGUAAACUCCUAUCUCAUGUAGUAGCAUUGUUAACCAAGUUAUUUCACAUGUAGUGUAGGCCAAUGCUCUGUACUCAGCCUCAGCCGAUGAUCUUGAUAUUGUUUGUUGCUUUUUUGAUUUCCAAGAUACUAGGGAAGUACCAAGGAAGAUGGCAAACCCCGAUGUUGAUCGUCUGGUGGUUGGGCAACUUGCCCAAUCUGAGUCAGAAAAUGCAGAAAUGUGGUCCAUUGAGGAUCCUGUAAAAUGCAACCCCACACCAGGUGAUCCUUUUAUGUAUUUUAAUACUCUGUAGGCAGCUUUCAUGUGAAUGUCUGUGGGUGUUGCCAUGUGCUGGCUUAGAUAAGUCACAGCAUAUGAUAUGUCUGGUCUUGUGCAAGUUAAAUAAACUAACUUGCCAAUUAUACUUCUAUAUUGCUGUGGGUCCUCUAAUGGGGUUCCACAUGUCUCUGUUUUAUGUGACUGCAUUGGUGUUUUAUUGAUGUGGUUAUUUGGUUGCAUUAAUGUGUUAUUAAGUUUUUCUGUUUUAUAAUUGGAUAUUUGUUUUUGGCUAUUUGGAGUGUUGUUUGGUUUGCAUUGAGUUAGAUCAUAUUUUUCCAAUAGAUCUAAGGUGUAUUUUCUUUGCCCGAUGUAUAGGCCAUUUGGUGUUUUUGUGAAUUCAAGGCCUAGGAAAUAUUUAAGUUCUCCUAGGUCUUUUAUUUUGAAAGUUUCACUUAAGUUUCCUUUUAAGGUAUUAAUUUUAUCUAUGUUAUUUCCUGUUAUUAACAGGUCAUCAACAUAGGCUAAUACUAUUGUAGUAUCUUUAUCAUCAAUGUUUAUGAACAGUGAAUAAUCUGUCUUGCAUUGUUUGUAUCCAAAAUUGGAUAGAGCCUUUGACAGAGUUUGAUACCACACUCUGGAGGCUUGUUUUAGGCCAUAUAGUGACCUAUUCAGUCUGCAGACUGAAUUUGGUGGUGAGUCUUUUGGUAUGUCUAGACCCAGGGGAAUCUUCAUGUAUAUAGUUUCUUCUAGAGUUCCAUGUAGAAAAGCAUUUUGUACAUCCAUUUGAUGCAUGUGCCAUUUCUUGGAUACUCCUAUUGCUAAAAUGACUCUGAGUGUUGUCAUUUUUGAGACAGGGGCAAAGGUUUCUGUGAAAUCUAUCCCCUCAAUUUGGUUGUAUCCUUUUGCAACCAAUCUUGCUUUAUGUUUUUCAACAGUUCCAUCACUGUUGAAUUUGGUCUUGUAAACCCAUUUGCAGCCAAUUGGUUUCUUUCCUUGAGGAAUGCUAGUGAUUGUCCAUGUUUUGUUGUUUUCAAGAGCCUCAAGUUCUUGUUUCAUAGCAUUGUUCCAUUUGGCAUGUUUGGAGGCUUCUUUGUAUGAGCUUGGAUCAUUGUUGCUUUCUAUUGUUGUGAUGAAAGCAUAGUAUUCUGGGGUGAAAUUUUGUUGUGAGAUUUCUUUCCCUAUUGGGUGUCUAGAUGAUGCUAGUUGUAGUUUGUAAUCUUUUAGGUAUGAAGGCAUUUUUCUAGUUCUUUUUGAUGUUCUGUUAGUGCCCUCAUUGUCUGCUGGUGUUGGUGUUUCAGCUAUUUCUUCCUCUUCUUCUGACUCAUAUUGUUCAGUGAGUUCCAUUGAAGGAGGAAUGUGAGAAAUUUGAGGAAUUAUCUCCUCAUCUUCCUCUGACUCAUAUUGGUCAUGUGAGGGAGUUAUGUAUGUGUUUGUUUCUUCUAGUGGUUCUUUGUUGAAGAAGUCUUCCUCAUGUUGUUUAGGUUUUUCUUGAAAUGGGAAUAUUUCUUCAUGGAAAGUAACAUCCCUGUUUGUGAAGAUUUCUUGGUUUGACAGAUUGAGUAUCUUAUAACCCUUUCUUUGGAAAGAGUAUCCUAGGAAAAUUCCCUUGAUGGCUCUGUUUUCAAAUUUUGUCUUUGUUUUGUUGUUUGUAGCAUAACAAAGACAUCCGAAUACUCUUAGGAUAGAGAGAUUUGGUUGCUCAUUAAACAGCCUGUAGUAAGGGGUGUCAUUGUCUAGGACAACAGCUGGGGUUCUAUUUAUUAGGAAUACAGCUGUUAAGAUGCAUUCCCCCCAAUAUGUAAGGGGAAUGUUGGAUUGAAUCAUAAGUGACCUGGACACUUGUAGUAUGUGCUGGUGUUUUCUCUCUACUCUCCCAUUCUGUUGAGGAGUGUAGGGACAUGAUAGUUGGUGUGCUAUUCCAUUUGUUUUUAUAGUAUUUUGGAAUUCUUUAGACAGGAAUUCUGUUUCAUUGUCUGUUCUUAUGGUUUGGAUCGUUGUUUGAUGUUGAUUUUUAACAUCCAAGAUGAACUGUUUGAAUUUUCCUAUUGUCUCAGCUUUGUUUGUCAUCAGGAAGGCCCAGGUAGCCCUUGAAUAGUCAUCUACGAUGGUCAGAAAGUAGUUGUUUCCUUGAUGUGUGGGUGUAUGAAACUUUCCCCAAAUAUCUAGAUGAAUAAGUUGAAAGCAUUUUGUAGUUUUACUUGUGCUAGAAUUAAAAGAUAGCCUUGUUUGUUUUGACAAAGGGCAUGUAUUACAAAAUUUGGAAAAAAUUUUAGGAAUACAAUUGUUCAAUAAAUGUAGGUGAUAAAAUCUAGAAGGUGCAGGGUGCCCUAGCCUUCUGUGCCAGAUUUCUUCAUCUUUGGAUUCCCUUUGUUGGCUAUGAUUGGCCUGGGGUGAUUCUAGCUUCAGUAUAUAUAGGCCAUCCUUCUUCUCACCACCACCAAUCUGGUUUCCCUGCUGGUCCUGUAUGGAACAGAAAGUAGGGUGGAAGGUGAAUAAGCAAUUUAUAUCUUUUGUUAAUUUGCUUACAGAUAGAAGGUUUACUGAGAAGGAUGGUAUUUUAAGGACAUUGUGUAAGAUAAUGUCUUUUGACAGGGUUAUGGAGCCACUUGAUGAUACUUUUGUGGUUUGUGAGUUUGGAAGGUGUAUGUUUAUUGGGUACAGGAGUGUUUUUAUGUUCUGUAGUUUGGUGUUGGGGGAACACAUAUGAUCUGUUGCCCCUGUGUCAAUGAUCCAUUGAUCAUUUUUUGUUUCAGUGUGUGGUUUUGUGUGUGUGUUUAAGGAGUAAUGAAAGCAAGUAUUAUUUUUAUAAAGUGACUUACCAGAUGAGCUUUCAGAAGCCAUGUGAGCCUGACUCUGUUUUUCUUUGGAGAAUCCUCCCAGUAUGUCUAUUAGCUCUUCUCUAGUGAUGAACUUGUUUUCAGUUUUAUCUUCAUUGGGUUUUGGUUCAUCUUCUUCUUGUUGUGUGCUAGCAUUGUUGCUUUGGUAUUUGCUUUUCUGUCCUUUGUUGGGCCUGCCAUUGUAGUUUUUCUUUCCAACAAAUUUUGUAUCCUUCUUUUUGUUGAAAUCUACCCCAUGGAGCCCAUGUCCUGCUGGAAAUCCAUGCUCAUAGAAGCAUGUUUCCAGAGUGUGGUUGUGUUUCUUGCAUCUUGUGCAGUAGGGUUUGGAGUCUUCACUCUGAAUGUGUGUCUUUACCUGAGGAUUUUUAGAUUGUGCUAUCAUGGCAUUGCCUUCCUCAGGGUAUACACACUCCCUUUGAGUUUCUUCUUGUAGAACCAUGCUAAAAGCAUCCUCUACUGAAGGUGGGGUUUUCUUCUUCAGAAUCUGUCCUCUGAUGGUCAUGAAGGAGUCAUUCAGACCAGUUGUGAAGGUGAUUAACCUCUCCAGAUUUUCCUUUGCUAUGCAGUUAGCAUUUCCACAACAUUCAAAAAUUUGAUUGUUGUCCAAUUCAUUCCAGAGUCCCUGUAGCUUGGCAUAGUAAUUGCUUACAGAUUCGUUGCCUUGAGUGCAUAGUGCAAUCUGCCUUUUCAGUUGAGAGAUGACCAGGGAGUUUGCUCUGCUGUAUUUCUGUUUAAGAUUUUGCCAUAAGAUAUUGGCAUCAUUUAUGAAGAUUGUGCUGCUUUUGAUUUCUUUGGAGCAGCUGUUUAAUAUCCAUGCAGUGACCAGAUCAUUGCAUCUGAUCCAGGGUAUGAAGUAUUUAUCUGUGUUGUCUGCUGGUUUUGUGAUGGUUCCAUUUAUGAAACCUAGUUUGUUUUUGGUGGAUAGGGAUCUUUGAAUCUCAACCACCCAUGUUUGGUAGUUUGAUCCACUGAGUGGAGUUACUACCAGGCUUAGAUUGGGAUUAUCACUUCCUGAAAUGUAGUAUGGAUUUCCAUCUUUGAUUUUAAACUCAUCAUUCUUUGUUGUCAUUUUCAGAUAAAAAUGAGAGGAGGGAAAGAAGGCUGAUGAGAAGGCACACCAGGAAUCUCAGGAGAAUGAGAGAGCUCAGAAGGCAGAAUAUGGAUGUGGAGGCCUUGGAAUAUUUUGGUGAUGUGGAAGAUGUGUAUUCUUCCUCUGACUCUGAGUAUGAGAGACCUGUUCCUGUGUGGGAUAUUGACUUUCCCUCAGAUAGUGAUGGCGAAGAUGGUGUGGUGUGUCAGGAAUACUACUAUGAUUAUGAUAGUGAUGAUUCUAUGCCUGACUAUGAGAUAUGGAGUGAUCCAGAUGUGGGCCUGAAUUCUGAGGGGGAGAAGGAGAAUGGUGUUCUGGCAGUAGAGAUUCCACUACCUCCUCGUCCUCCACAAGAAUUCUUUGACAAUAUCUGGAGAAACAGGAUUAUUUUUGAUGAUUAACAGUGCUGCUGUGUUGAAACAGAAGUGAUAGAGUUUUGUGUUUUGAAACAGUUUGUAAUGCUGUUUCCUUUUGUGGAAAGAAUUGAUAGUAGAAAGAAAAAUAUGAUUUUAGAAUAGAAAAGAAAGAAUAUUUUGAUCAGGAUUGAUCCUGCUCUGAUACCAUGAUAGAACUUAUAUUUGAAAUAUAUGCAAAUAUAAAUAUGAAAUGUGGUUUAAGAAUUGAAUUAUUGAUGAAUGUAUGAUGAUAUGAUAAUAUAUUGUAAAUUGAUACUGUAGGAGAAUCGAUUGAUGAAGCGAUGAUCCACAGCUUGUUGAAGUGAGUUGAAUGUGAUUGAACUUGAAUCUGUGAUUCAAGUUGUUGUAUUGCGGAAGCGUUUGAUGAUUAGCAAUUCCAGUUGCAGAGUUGAUCAGACAGAGUAACACAAAGUCUGUAUUGUAAUACAGAGUGUGUGGAUGUGUGUGUGAUCGUGUGUUAAUCUUAAACUAGGAUUAGGUAUGUUUAUAUAGAAGAACACCCAACGGCUAUGUUGGUUGGGUGUAUUUAAUUAUGGUAAUUAAUAUAUAUAGGAAUGUGUAAUAUGGAUUUGGGAAUUAAUAUAAAAUUGAAUAUUUGAUUGAUAUUUGAAUGUGAAAAGAUGUAAUGAGAAUGUGAAGAGUUGUGAUGAAAUAAGAGGGUGUUAAUGAUAAUUUUAUUAUAAUGCUAUAUGUGUAAUUUAUUUUAAGGUAGGGGUAUAUCUCUAAUA